rnacentral:piRNA from 1 species
UCUAAACCCUUAAGUGUUAAGGAUUUCAGAA